GACGAAGGGGGCUAGCGUUGUUCGGAAUUACUGGGCGUAAAGCGCGUGUAGGCGGUUGUUCAAGUCAGGUGUGAAAGCCUUGAGCUCAACUCAAGAAAUGCACUUGAUACUGGAUGACUAGAGGACCGGAGAGGAUAGUGGAAUUCCCAGUGUAGUGGUGAAAUACGUAGAGAUUGGGAAGAACACCAGUGGCGAAGGCGGCUAUCUGGACGGUUUCUGACGCUAAGGCACGAAAGCGUGGGGAGCAAACAGG
rnacentral:rRNA from 1 species